rnacentral:rRNA from 1 species
UACGUAGGGUGCAAGCGUUGUCCGGAAUUAUUGGGCGUAAAGAGCUCGUAGGCGGUCUGUCACGUCGGCUGUGAAAACUCGGGGCUCAACCCCGAGCCUGCAGUCGAUACGGGCAGACUAGAGUCCGGCAGGGGAGACUGGAAUUCCUGGUGUAGCGGUGAAAUGCACAGAUAUCAGGAGGAACACCGGUGGCGAAGGCGGGUCUCUGGGCCGGAACUGACGCUGAGGAGCGAAAGCGUGGGGAGCGAACAGG